UCAUAUUGGUACUACUGAUAGAUACAUCAAUGUGAAAGCACCCUUGUGGAGAUGUUUUUAUAAGCUGAACACCAACAAGGAUUAGGAGAAGUAAAUUCAGACUCUUUGAAGUAACCUCCUACGGUUUAAGUUGGAAUAUGGUCAAUGCAUCUACCUCACAGGACAGACAAUAGCCAGAGAAAGCCAGAGAGAAGCCCUUCUCCUACUUGACUCUGUCUCAGAAUGGUCCUAGAAUUCUCACAUCUAUUCAUGAAGAAAUAUUCUUAGCAAAUGAAGAAUAAAAGAAAUGUCCUAAUGUAACAGAGUAUCUACCAAAAAACAAAAUAUCAAAUGUCAAGCUAAAAGCCAGACAGACCAACUCUAGCAUGAUGUGAAGAGUUCUACACCAGAAGAUGAAGGCCAAGGGAUGAUGUUGAAGGCUAGCUACUGAUGCAACAAAGGAAUUCCUUUCAUAUUUCACCUUAAAGGUGCAGAGUCGGAGACUUGCAGAUGUUUGAGUAACUCAUGAAACAUCACCUGGCACCUGACAAAAUUCCCACCUGAACAACCCUCUUUCUUUCUAUCUUACCUAUUUGCAUUGAGUUCACAAUAAAGAGAAGUCUUCUCCAUGGUCAGACAACUGACACUGAGAGCUGUGAGUUGGUUUGCUUAAGGACUCAUCCACAAUGAGUGAGACUUGUACUAUAUUGAGUCUAAGGACUGACCCAAAGUCACACAACAAUGGGACAAGAACUAACAUCUUUCAACAACAUUAUCUAAAAUAGCACCCGAUGAACACUACUGGAAGAGUUGUCAACAGAAUAGUUGGUACAUAAACUGUGAUUUAGUCCUCAAGGAGAAACCCAUCAUUGAGAAUGACCAAUUGCAACUGCUACAACAAGAAAGGCAAGUCUCCCAAACAUAGUAUUGAUCGAAAGAAUUGAGAUGGAAAAAAUAGCCUACUCAAUGCUUCAUAAAUUCCAAGUCCCAAAUGAGUUCAAAGUUAUCUUUGAUGGUAGAAGUCAGAAGAGAUUCCCCUUUGUGUGGAUGAGGGUAGUUACUACAAGCAAGCAAGCACAGAAGAGCUUCCAACGGCUGGCAAUGUCCUGUUUCCUGACCUGAGUUCUCACCAUUCCCGAGGUUUGGAAAAACACUGGAGGGCACCUUUAUAUUUGUGCACUUUGUGUAUGUUAUGUUCUACCUCAAUAAAAAUGUAAGAAAAUAAUACAAAGCUCUGCAAGUUAGUAUAAUUUAAUACCAAUGAGUUGAAUGUUUGUGUUUUCACUAAGUCAUGUGUUAGAACCACAAUGUCUGAAUACAG